rnacentral:rRNA from 1 species
CAUAGGUUAAUGAGGCGAACCGGGGGAACUGAAACAUCUAAGUACCCCGAGGAAAAGAAAUCAACCGAGAUUCCCCCAGUAGCGGCGAGCGAACGGGGAGGAGCCCAGAGCCUGAAUCAGUGUGUGUGUUAGUGGAAGCGUCUGGAAAGGCGCGCGAUACAGGGUGACAGCCCCGUACACAAAAAUGCACAUGCUGUGAGCUCGAUGAGUAGGGCGGGACACGUGGUAUCCUGUCUGAAUAUGGGGGGACCAUCCUCCAAGGCUAAAUACUCCUGACUGACCGAUAGUGAACCAGUACCGUGAGGGAAAGGCGAAAAGAACCCCGGCGAGGGGAGUGAAAAAGAACCUGAAACCGUGUACGUACAAGCAGUGGGAGCACAGAGCAAUCUGUGUGACUGCGUACCUUUUGUAUAAUGGGUCAGCGACUUAUAUUCUGUAGCAAGGUUAACCGAAUAGGGGAGCCGAAGGGAAACCGAGUCUUAACUGGGCGUUAAGUUGCAGGGUAUAGACCCGAAACCCGGUGAUCUAGCCAUGGGCAGGUUGAAGGUUGGGUAACACUAACUGGAGGACCGAACCGACUAAUGUUGAAAAAUUAGCGGAUGACUUGUGGCUGGGGGUGAAAGGCCAAUCAAACCGGGAGAUAGCUGGUUCUCCCCGAAAGCUAUUUAGGUAGCGCCUCGUGAAUUCAUCUCCGGGGGUAGAGCACUGUUUCGGCAAGGGGGUCAUCCCGACUUACCAACCCGAUGCAAACUGCGAAUACCGGAGAAUGUUAUCACGGGAGACACACGGCGGGUGCUAACGUCCGUCGUGAAGAGGGAAACAACCCAGACCGCCAGCUAAGGUCCCAAAGUCAUGGUUAAGUGGGAAACGAUGUGGGAAGGCCCAGACAGCCAGGAUGUUGGCUUAGAAGCAGCCAUCAUUUAAAGAAAGCGUAAUAGCUCACUGGUCGAGUCGGCCUGCGCGGAAGAUGUAACGGGGCUAAACCAUGCACCGAAGCUGCGGCAGCGACACUGUGUGUUGUUGGGUAGGGGAGCGUUCUGUAAGCCUGUGAAGGUGUGCUGUGAGGCAUGCUGGAGGUAUCAGAAGUGCGAAUGCUGACAUAAGUAACGAUAAAGCGGGUGAAAAGCCCGCUCGCCGGAAGACCAAGGGUUCCUGUCCAACGUUAAUCGGGGCAGGGUGAGUCGACCCCUAAGGCGAGGCCGAAAGGCGUAGUCGAUGGGAAACAGGUUAAUAUUCCUGUACUUGGUGUUACUGCGAAGGGGGGACGGAGAAGGCUAUGUUGGCCGGGCGACGGUUGUCCCGGUUUAAGCGUGUAGGCUGGUUUUCCAGGCAAAUCCGGAAAAUCAAGGCUGAGGCGUGAUGACGAGGCACUACGGUGCUGAAGCAACAAAUGCCCUGCUUCCAGGAAAAGCCUCUAAGCAUCAGGUAACAUCAAAUCGUACCCCAAACCGACACAGGUGGUCAGGUAGAGAAUACCAAGGCGCUUGAGAGAACUCGGGUGAAGGAACUAGGCAAAAUGGUGCCGUAACUUCGGGAGAAGGCACGCUGAUAUGUAGGUGAAGUCCCUCGCGGAUGGAGCUGAAAUCAGUCGAAGAUACCAGCUGGCUGCAACUGUUUAUUAAAAACACAGCACUGUGCAAACACGAAAGUGGACGUAUACGGUGUGACGCCUGCCCGGUGCCGGAAGGUUAAUUGAUGGGGUCAGCGCAAGCGAAGCUCUUGAUCGAAGCCCCGGUAAACGGCGGCCGUAACUAUAACGGUCCUAAGGUAGCGAAAUUCCUUGUCGGGUAAGUUCCGACCUGCACGAAUGGCGUAAUGAUGGCCAGGCUGUCUCCACCCGAGACUCAGUGAAAUUGAACUCGCUGUGAAGAUGCAGUGUACCCGCGGCAAGACGGAAAGACCCCGUGAACCUUUACUAUAGCUUGACACUGAACAUUGAGCCUUGAUGUGUAGGAUAGGUGGGAGGCUUUGAAGUGUGGACGCCAGUCUGCAUGGAGCCGACCUUGAAAUACCACCCUUUAAUGUUUGAUGUUCUAACGUGGACCCGUGAUCCGGGUUGCGGACAGUGUCUGGUGGGUAGUUUGACUGGGGCGGUCUCCUCCUAAAGAGUAACGGAGGAGCACGAAGGUUGGCUAAUCCUGGUCGGACAUCAGGAGGUUAGUGCAAUGGCAUAAGCCAGCUUGACUGCGAGCGUGACGGCGCGAGCAGGUGCGAAAGCAGGUCAUAGUGAUCCGGUGGUUCUGAAUGGAAGGGCCAUCGCUCAACGGAUAAAAGGUACUCCGGGGAUAACAGGCUGAUACCGCCCAAGAGUUCAUAUCGACGGCGGUGUUUGGCACCUCGAUGUCGGCUCAUCACAUCCUGGGGCUGAAGUAGGUCCCAAGGGUAUGGCUGUUCGCCAUUUAAAGUGGUACGCGAGCUGGGUUUAGAACGUCGUGAGACAGUUCGGUCCCUAUCUGCCGUGGGCGCUGGAGAACUGAGGGGGGCUGCUCCUAGUACGAGAGGACCGGAGUGGACGCAUCACUGGUGUUCGGGUUGUCAUGCCAAUGGCACUGCCCGGUAGCUAAAUGCGGAAGAGAUAAGUGCUGAAAGCAUCUAAGCACGAAACUUGCC